AUCUACACUUCUGUCUCUUUUCCUGCCUCGAGGGUCACCUGAAAAUCUAGGUUUUAAAUGUUAAGAUUUGUGUCUUUCUUCUAUCUUGCAAAAUUGUCUUCACAUAUUUUACCCAUCCCAUGGAAAGGAAUCCGAUGAUAUUCUUCCCACUUUCCUCUCCCAAAUGUCCAAUUUCUUGGGAUGUUGAUGUCCACCUUAUUUUUGAUUCCUCCUAUUGAAUUAUUAUCUGACCAACUAAUACAACUUGUCGUGCUUGCAGUAAGAUGGUCUUUAAUAAGUUGUCCAUUUGAUUUUGGUAGGCUCUCUUCAUAUCCAGAAAAAGUCAUGCAAAGCAAAACAAAGCACUUCACAUGUUCUAUCUUCUGGUCCUUCUCAUUUCUGUUGUUCAUCUUUGAGCACUGAUAUGCUCUGUUCAACUUUCAAGUUGAACCCAACCCAUCUAAGACGUUCAGAUCUUACCAAUGCUGGAGCUACCUAGAGACCUCCGUGCUCUGUUCUACUCUGACUAAGCCUACUAAGGGAAAACUGAGCAAAAGAAAUAUUAACCCUCCUGACAUAUCUGAAUUCACAUCCACACUUCUUUGAAAGAAAAUAUUGCUGUGGUCUGUGGUACUUUUUCUUUCGAUUGCUAGUUGCUAAAGCCAUGAAUUGAAAAUGUUUCCAUGAUUUGACUUCAAUUUAAGUGGGGACCAAGAUUCCGUGAAGAACGGCUACUUCGUUCCAUUUAUUUGCAGAAUGCUUAAUUCUGAACGCUCAAGUUCAGUGAAGUUUUAAGAAGACAGCCAUGGUGAAAGUUGUAAAGUUGAAUAUAUUUACAUGUGAAAAUCCAUGUGUCGGCCUGCUCAUGUAUAUGCAGAGACAUGUGUACAUAUGUAAGUACUGCAUAUUAUGGUUUUUGUUUCUUUUUCGAAUUAGAUAUUGUAAAUAAGCGUUUUCUGAUGUUAACAUAUUAUACAUGCAGAAUGACCUAAAAAUGAUAAAAAUGAAA